rnacentral:SRP_RNA from 1 species
GCCGGGCGUGGUGGUGCGCGCCUGUAGUCCCAGCUACUCGCCUGUAGUCCCAGCUACUCGGGAGGCUGAGGUGGGAGGAUCGCUUGAGUCCAGGAGUUCUGGGUUGCAGUGUACUAUGCCGAUCCGGUGUCUGCACUAAGGUCGGCACCAAUAUGGUGACCUCCCAGGAGCCGGGGACCACCAGGUUGCCUAAGGAGGGGUGAACUGGCCCAGGUCGGAAAUGGAGUGGGUCAAAACUCCUGUGCUGAUCAGUAGUGGGAUCGCGCCUCUGAAUAGCCACUGCACUUCAGCCUGGGCAAUAUAGUGAGACCCUGUU